UGGGGGAUCGUUCAAUGGUAGGACAACGGACUCUGACUCCGUGAAUAGGGGUUCGAAUCCCUUUCCCCCAGCCA
rnacentral:tRNA from 1 species